CUCAAUGAAAAUUCAAUAGCCGCAAUUUUGUGCUAAGGUAGCAUAAUCAUUUGUUUUUUAAUUAAAAACUAGAACGAAAGAUUCAACAUUUCAAUUUCUUUCUUACAUAUAAAAAUUUAAUUUAUUCUAAAUAUAAAAAAAUAUUUUUUAUUUAAAAAGACGACAAGACCCUAUUGAACUUAACUAAAGUUCAACUGGGGUAGUUAAUUAAACAUAAUUUUAAUUUAAAUUUAUAAAAAAUCUAAUAUAAUUAAAUAAUAAGUUACCAUAGGGAUAACAGCGUAAUAAAUUUCACAAGAUCAUAUUUAAAAAAUUGUUUACGACCUCGAUGUUGAAUUAAUAAUCUAUUAAAUGCAAUAAUUUAAUAACGAAAGUCUGUUCGACUU
rnacentral:rRNA from 1 species